rnacentral:rRNA from 1 species
ACCCAAUAGAUACCCUGGUAGUCCACGCCCUAAACGAUGAUUACUCGACAUACGCGAUAUACAGUGUGUGUCUGAGCGAAAGCAUUAAGUAAUCCACCUGGGAAGUACGUCCGCAAGGAUGAAACUCAAAGGAGUUGACGGGGGUCCGGCACAAGCGGUGGAGUAUGUGGUUUAAUUCGAUGAUACGCGAGGAACCUUACCUGGGCUAGAAUGCUAUCUGCCCGUACCUGAAAGGGUAUUUUGUAGCAAUACACAGAUAGUAAGGUGCUGCAUGGCUGUCGUCAGCUCGUGCCGUGAGGUGUUGGGUUAAGUCCCGCAACGAGCGCAACCCCCACUCUUCAGUUGCCAGCACGUAAUGGUGGGAACUCUGAAGAAACUGCCGUCGUAAGACGCGAGGAAGGGAGGGGAUGAUGUCAAGUCAUCAUGGCCUUUAUGCCCAGGGCUACACACGUACUACAAUGGGGA